AUUGAACGCUGGCGGCAGGCCUAACACAUGUAAGUCGAACGGUAACAGGAAGUGCUUGCACUUCGCUGACGAGUGGCGGACGGGUGAGUAAUACUUGGGGAUCUGCCUUUGAGUGGGGGAUAACAGUUGGAAACGACUGCUAAUACCGCAUAACGUCUUCGGACCAAAGGGGGCUUCGGCUCUCGCUCAUUGAGGAACCCAAGCGAGAUUAGCUAGUUGGUGAGGUAAAGGCUCACCAAGGCAACGAUCUCUAGCUGUUCUGAGAGGAAGAUCAGCCACACUGGGACUGAGACACGGCCCAG
rnacentral:rRNA from 1 species